rnacentral:rRNA from 1 species
CAACAGGGAUUGCCCUAGUAACGGCGAGUGAAGCGGCAACAGCUCAAAUUUGAAAUCUGGCUCUCGGGCCCGAGUUGUAAUUUGUAGAGGAUGACUUUGAUGCGGUGCCUUCCGAGUUCCCUGGAACGGGACGCCAUAGAGGGUGAGAGCCCCGUCUGGUUGGAUGCCAAAUCUCUGUAAGUCUCCUUCGACGAGUCGAGUAGUUUGGGAAUGCUGCUCUAAAUGGGAGGUAUAUGUCUUCUAAAGCUAAAUACCGGCCAGAGACCGAUAGCGCACAAGUAGAGUGAUCGAAAGAUGAAAAGCACUUUGAAAAGAGAGUUAAAAAGUACGUGAAAUUGUUGAAAGGGAAGCGUUUAUGACCAGACUUGGGCUUGGUUAAUCAUCUGGGGUUCUCCCCAGUGCACUUUUCCAGUUCAGGCCAGCAUCAGUUUUCGCCGGGGGAUAAAGACUUCGGGAAUGUGGCUCCUCUCGGGGAGUGUUAUAGCCCGUUGUGUAAUACCCUGGUGGGGACUGAGGUUCGCGCUUCUGCAAGGAU